UUAUUUUUUUUUUUUUUUUUUUUUUUUUUUUUUUAUAAUCUCGCGUUAUUUCAAUUUUCUAUACGGCUAUACUCUUAUCUUAAUUUAAUUACAAACGAUUUAAAUUUUUUAAUAUAUCUGCACACUUUAAUUUCGGUAGCGAAAUAAUAUUGUGUACGUUUUUUUCCGGAAAAUAAAAAUCUAUAUUAUAAAACCCGAAUGAAAUGUUUUCGCGCGAAACAAUAAAAACGUUUGCUGAUCAAUAUAAGAAUACGUAUCCACCUAGGUACCUAUACAUACUAUGUACACCCACCUAUAGCAAAGUGCAUUUUCAGAUUAUAUUAUUCGUUUUAUUUAAAACUUAAAAUACGAUAAUUUGUCUGGAUAUUUUGUACCCAAACGUAUUAAAUUCUCACACUCAAAUUUGCAGUGUCCGUACAAAAAAAAAAAAAAAAAAAUAUAUUUAUAAAAUCGUGCAUACAACAAUACGCGCUCAAUAAUAAUAUUUUGUGUUAUUAUUUUUAUAUAAUACAUUUAAUAAGACACGUUUUUAGUCGAAAACUGCGAUCCAAAUCGUUUUGCACGCAUUUCGCAUACCCCGGGUACCUAUAGUUUACUAGUUGAUAAUGAACGACAAACAAAAACAACGUUAACAAAAUUAUUCGCACACCCUCCUCGAUAAUACGAUUAUAAUUUUUUUUUUUUUUUGUUAUUGUUUAUUACCUAUAUUACAUUUAAACAAAUAGAAAAAUAUGAUUGUUUAUUAUUUAAGUUUAACUUUACAAUAAUUUAUAUGCAUUAUAUUAUAUGGGAUAUCAAUGUAUGGUAUCUGUAUAAUAUAAUCAUAAAAUAAUAUUACGUAUUAUAUUGUAUUUAACGUCCAGAUCCGCCAGCGUUGUUGGUUGUUAUUUUGAUAUAAUGGUUUAAAAUAUAAUUAUAACAAUAAUAUUUUAUAAUAGAAAACUAUAUAAUAAUAAUACCUAGUCGAAUUAAAC